UCACAUGUCACUGCUCUAUCAAUUUUUCUUGAUUGUAUUUUUGUUAUUGGACACUAAGAUCUUAUCUGAGUGGUAUGAGUUUUGAACCUUACUUUUAGGCCUGUCAUAUUUAAGUCUGGCUGGUCCAGUUAGACACCAAAAUUUGUAAGCAUUUUUUUUUUUUAAAGAAAAAAAAAAUGCUGUUACGGUGACUUAAAAAUUGAAGUGCCUUGAUCUCAAAAUUAGGUUUUUGAAAUUUUGAUAAUGUUAAUUUGUACAUGACAUGCCGAGUCGCACUAUGAAACUUUGAGAGAAGGUGAAUGGAUAUAGGUUUAGAUACGAAACAACAACAUUGGAUAAUCAAUUUGGUUUUAUGCCAAAAAGAUAUCUAAUGGGGAAAUAUAGAGAAGCCUGUAAAGAUUUGUGCAUGAUUUUUGUUGAUUUAGAAUAACAUAUGAUAGAAUACAUAGAUAGGUUAUGUGAUGGGUUUUAGAAAAGAAAGGAGUUUAGUAAGGAUAUGUGUGAUAGAGUUGUAACUAAUAUAAGAACAAGUGGAGGCAUCAUAAGUGAGUUUUCUAUUACAAUAGGUUUGCAUUAAGGAUCAAUUUUUAUGUCUAUAUCUCUCUGCACUGGUUAUGGAUGAACUCACUAGAUUAAUUCAAGAUUAAGUCACUUCGUGUAUGCUUUUGCUACGUGGAUAGUUUUAGUGGAUGAAACUAGACUUGAAGUUAAAGCCAAGCUAGAAAUCUAAAGGGAUGCUAUAGAUUAAGUAGGUCUGAAACAGAAUAUAUGGAGUUUUAGUUUAGUAUAAAGAGAAAUAAAGAUGAAGGGUUUUAAAACUUGAUUUUCAAAAGAUACCAACGAGUUUGUGCUUUUGAUAUCUUGGAUCAAUAAUUCAUAAGGAUGGAGAGACUGAAGAGGAUGUGAAUUAUAGGAUAAGGGUGGGGUGGGUGAAUUGGAAAGGCGCAUUAGGAGUAUUUUGUGGUAACUUUGUGAUUGUAGAAUACAUAUUAAGUUAAAGGAAAAGUUUUACAAGAAUUUUUGUAAGACCAACUGACCAACAAUGUUAUAUGGUAUUGAAUUUUGGGUUAUUAAGAAGCACAUUGUUUAUAAAAUAAGAAUAGUUGAAAUGAGAAUGUUAAGAUGAAUAAAUGGAAAUAUAGGAUAUGAAGUGAAAAUUUU